CCUAUUCGAGCGUCAUUAUCACCCCUCAAGCUUGGCUUGGUGUUGGGGCGUGCUGUAACGGCAGCCCCUAAAAUCAGUGGCAGUGCCAACAGGCCCUAAGCGUAGUAAAUUCCUCGCUAUAGGUCCCUGUGGACACUCGCCAGAACCCCCCAUUUUUAAUGAUUGACCUCGGAUUAGGUAGGGAUACCCGCUGAACUUAA
rnacentral:misc_RNA from 1 species